rnacentral:rRNA from 1 species
UGGGGAAUAUUGGGCAAUGGGCGCAAGCCUGACCCAGCCAUGCCGCGUGAGUGAUGACGGCCUUAGGGUUGUAAAGCUCUUUCAGUAGUGACGAUGAUGACAGUAGCUACAGAAGAAGCCCCGGCUAACUUCGUG